GGGCUUAUGGUGAUAAGUCAAAUUAUCUUAGCAGAUUUCAGUGAGGGUAUCUUAUCAAUGAUCUGAUUCUACACACAAAAAGCCU